UACGUAGGGUGCAAGCGUUGUCCGGAAUUAUUGGGCGUAAAGAGCUCGUAGGCGGUUUGUCGCGUCUGCUGUGAAAUCUGGGGGCUCAACCCCCAGCCUGCAGUGGGUACGGGCAGACUAGAGUCCGGAAGAGGAGAGUGGAAUUCCUGGUGUAGCGGUGAAAUGCGCAGAUAUCAGGAAGAACACCAAUGGCGAAGGCAGCUCUCUGGGACGGUA
rnacentral:rRNA from 1 species